UGGGGAAUAUUGCACAAUGGGCGCAAGCCUGAUGCAGCCAUGCCGCGUGUAUGAAGAAGGCCUUCGGGUUGUAAAGUACUUUCAGCGGGGAGGAAGGGAGUAAAGUUAAUACCUUUGCUCAUUGACGUUACCCGCAGAAGAAGCACCGGCUAACUCCGUGCCAGCAGCCGCGGUAAUACGGAGGGUGCAAGCGUUAAUCGGAAUUACUGGGCGUAAAGCGCACGCAGGCGGUUUGUUAAGUCAGAUGUGAAAUCCCCGGGCUCAACCUGGGAACUGCAUCUGAUACUGGCAAGCUUGAGUCUCGUAGAGGGGGGUAGAAUUCCAGGUGUAGCGGUGAAAUGCGUAGAGAUCUGGAGGAAUACCCGUGGCGAAGGCGGCCCCCUGGACGAAGACUGACGCUCAGGUGCGAAAGCGUGGGGAGCAAACAGG
rnacentral:rRNA from 1 species